GACGAACGCUGGCGGCGUGCUUAACGCAUGCAAGUCGAACGGAAAGGCCCUGCUUUUGUGGGGUGCUCGAGUGGCGAACGGGUGAGUAACACGUGAGUAACCUGCCCUUGACUUUGGGAUAACUUCAGGAAACUGGGGCUAAUACCGGAUAGGAGCUCCUGCUGCAUGGUGGGGGUUGGAAAGUUUCGGCGGUUGGGGAUGGACUCGCGGCUUAUCAGCUUGUUGGUGGGGUAGUGGCUUACCAAGGCUUUGACGGGUAGCCGGCCUGAGAGGGUGACCGGCCACAUUGGGACUGAGAUACGGCCCAGACUCCUACGGGAGGCAGCAGUGGGGAAUAUUGCACAAUGGGCGGAAGCCUGAUGCAGCAACGCCGCGUGCGGGAUGACGGCCUUCGGGUUGUAAACCUCUUUCGCCUGUGACGAAGCGUGAGUGACGGUAAUGGGUAAAGAAGCACCGGCUAACUACGU
rnacentral:rRNA from 1 species